CAGAGAGGCAGGAAGAGGCACCCAGCAGACCCCAAGUCGGCUUACUUUGGGAGAGUGGGCUCUAUUGGUACAAUGACCACUACAGUGCUCUUUUCAUUAAAGGGAAACUAUAGUGCCAGGAAAACAAACUCGUUUUCCUGGCACUAUAGAUUUCCCCUCUGUCAAGGCCCGCACCCGCGGUGCUGAAGGGGUUAAUAACCCCUUCAGUCACUUACCUGGGUCCAGCGCUGGCGGAG